UAUCAUGAUGAACGACAUUAGUGUGAACAAUCUAUGAAAAAUUCUUCUUUUAACAGAGAAGGUUUAAAUUGAUUAUAAAAAUUAUGUUGCCUUCCUACUGAAA
rnacentral:snoRNA from 1 species